GGAUCGAACGGCGUAGCUACAGGCUUAACACAUGCAAGUCGAGGGGCAGCAAGUUUUAGUUUGCUUGCAAAUUAAAGAUGGCGACCGGCGCACGGGUGAGUAACACGUAUCCAACCUGCCGAUAACUCGGGGAUAGCCUUUCGAAAGAAAGAUUAAUAUCCGAUAGCAUAUUGAGAUCGCAUGAUUUUGAUAUUAAAGAAUUUCGGUUAUCGAUGGGGAUGCGUUCCAUUAGUUUGUUGGCGGGGUAACGGCCCACCAAGACUACGAUGGAUAGGGGUUCUGAGAGGAAGGUCCCCCACAUUGGAACUGAGACACGGUCCAA
rnacentral:rRNA from 1 species